rnacentral:rRNA from 1 species
UCUAAGUUUGAUGGCGGCCGGCGCACGGGUGAGUAACACGUAUCCAACCUGCCGAUGACUCGGGGAUAGCCUUUCGAAAGAAAGAUUAAUACCCGAUGGCAUAGUUCUUCCGCAUGGUGGAACUAUUAAAGAAUUUCGGUCAUCGAUGGGGAUGCGUUCCAUUAGGUUGUUGGCGGGGGUAACGGGCCCACCAAGCCUUCGAUGGAUAGGGGUUCUGAGAGGAAGGUCCCCCACAUUGGAACUGAGACACGGUCCAAACUCCUACGGGAGGCAGCAUG